UCAAACUUUAAAUAUGUAAGAAGCCCUUGUUACUUAAUUGAACGAGGGCAUGCGAAUGAGAGUUUCUAGUGGGCCAUUUUUGGUAAGCAGAACUGGCGAUGCGGGAUGAACCGAACGCGGGGUUAAGGUGCCAGAAUAUACGCUCAUCAGACACCACAAAAGGUGUUAGUUCAUCUAGACAGCAGGACGGUGGCCAUGGAAGUCGGAAUCCGCU
rnacentral:rRNA from 1 species